UGGGGAAUAUUGCACAAUGGGCGAAAGCCUGAUGCAGCAACGCCGCGUGAGUGAUGAAGGUCUUCGGAUUGUAAAGCUCUGUCUUUUGGGACGAUAAUGACGGUACCAAAGGAGGAAGCCACGGCUAACUACGUGCCAGCAGCCGCGGUAAUACGUAGGUGGCGAGCGUUGUCCGGAUUUACUGGGCGUAAAGGGUGCGUAGGCGGAUGUUUAAGUGAGAUGUGAAAUACCCGGGCUUAACUUGGGUGCUGCAUUUCAAACUGGAUAUCUAGAGUGCAGGAGAGGAGAAUGGAAUUCUUAGUGUAGCGGUGAAAUGCGUAGAGAUUAGGAAGAACACCAGUGGCGAAGGCGAUUCUCUGGACUGUAACUGACGCUGAGGCACGAAAAGCGUGGGUAGCAAACAGGAUUAGAUACCCUGGUAGUCCACGCCGUAAACGAUGAGUACUAGGUGUAGGAGGUAUCGACCCCUUCUGUGCCGCAGUAAACACAUUA
rnacentral:rRNA from 1 species